AUAUAAGAUAACAUGUUAAGAUAUUCAUUCCUUGUUUGGUGGAAGCAGCCACAGAAGCUUGAAGCCAACUCAACUUUGGUGUACAUAGGGAUAUUUCUUAUACGCUUAUUCUAACGAUGUCACAUAUCCAAGGACUACAUGUGAAGAAAUUACUGCCAUGUAUUUUAUUAAUAUUGGUGAGUCAUAGGAAACUAUAACGUAGCAUUCUGCAUUAACACAUUUCACAAAUUUCUGUGUAUGUUGCGUUAUGAGCUAUUAUAAUCACAAAACAGAGUCAGAGAUAUUUGUCAUAUGUUUUAAGGUUAAGUACUCUUUUAAAGGUCGGCCAGGCGUUGACGUCAUCCAGUUAAGCAAUACUAAACCAAAAGUUCAGUUUCCUGAAUUGUUAAACUGUUUACAUAGACUGUGGGCGUUUCAAUGGGGCAGCGGAGAGUGCUCCAAAAAAGUGAGUGCUUAAAAAAUGAAUACUGGAGUGAAGGGCUCUGCUGUCACAAAUGUCCUGAAGGGUAUAAGCUAAUAAAGAAAUGCUCCAGCGGAAUGUCAACUCAAUGUGCGAAAUGUUCAGAAGGGACAUACCAAGACAAAAUGAACUAUUUCCCAAACUGCUUCAGAUGCCAGGAAUGUACUAGGAGGAGUCAUGCAGUGAUGAUUUCACCAUGUACAUACCAAAAUAACACUGUUUGUGGAUGUCAAUCAGGAUACCGCAAAAAAUUAUUUGACAGUAUUUCAUGGGCUUGUGAGCCCUUUAAAAGGAGUGAUCACCUAUGAUUCAAAAACAAGUGGAGAGAUAUAUCAUCCAUGCUUUGUGAGAAGGAAGUACACAAGACUAUCUCCAUCCAUGGUUCGGGCCUUAAAAAAAGCACCCUUUCUCUUUUGUGGAUUUCAAAACCUGUAGUCACUUAAUGCUGAUUGAUUACAACACAGAAUUGAUUUGAGUGACUCUGUGAAAAUUAACAAUACUAAUACAGGUGCAACAAUCAUGAAAAAGGAUAUUUAAGAUAGCUGAUUGCUAGUUGUGCUUCUCCUUACUGUGAACUAGAAUGCAGCAACAAAAGAACCUCAAAAGAACUUCCUAAUGACCCAAAACUAGGAUAAUUCAUCCAACAUGAAUAAGGAGCAGGAUACAAAAAGGUAUACAUAAAGGUUUAAAGUCUCUAUCUCCAUAGUCAGAAAUCUAGCAACAAAAUGGAAGGCCAUAGAAACAGUUCUUGUGAAGUAAAGAUGUGGUAGGCCAAGAAAAAUAUCUGAAAGGCAAAGGUGAAGAAUGGUUAGAAAGGUCACAGACAAACCACAGACCACCUUCAAAGAGCUCCAGGAACAUCUUGCUGCUGAUAAUGUCAUUGUACAUCGUUCCACAGUCCAACACACUCUUCACAAAGAACAGCUCUAUGGAAGGUGAUGCAGAAGAAGCCUUUUCUGCAUUCUGCUACAAGAAGAGUCGUUUGAGGUAUGCAAAGGCUCAUCUGGACAAGCCUGAAUCAUUUUGGAAAAAUAUACUGUGGACAGAUGUCACAACCGUAUGCUUUGCAUGACUAAAAAUGAACACGGCAUUCCAGGGGAAGAACAUGCUCUCUACUGUAAAAUAUGGUGGAGGGUACAUCAUGCAGUGGGAAUGUGUGGUAAGCACAGUUACUGGAAUCCUUUUAAGAGUUUAAGGUCACAUGGAUUCCACCCACUAUCUGCAGAUUCUUAAGAACAACGUUCAAGAGGCUGAAGUUUUACCAGGGUUGGAUGUUUCAGCAGGACAAUAAACCAAAGCACAGUUCCAGAUCUACCAAGGAAUUCAUGCUCAGACACGAUACAAUGAAUGGCCAUCCCAGUCCCCAGAAUUGAACAUCAUAGAAAAUCUAUGGAUUGAUUUGAAAAGGGCCGUCCAUGCUCAGCAAACAUCAAACCUUGACCUGAAGAAAUUUUGCAAGGAAGAAUGGUCCAAAACAUCAUCAUCAAACAUUCAAGGACUUGGUUAUAAGAAGCAUCUACAGGCUGUUAUUUCAGCAAAAGGUGCCUGUACAAAGGAUUGAUCAUUAUUCUGUUGGGGUGCUGAAAUUUUUGCAUCUGUCUAUUUUUGUUAUUAUGACUUAAAUUGCAUUGCAUCUGUUGAUUACAUAAAGGUUAUGUCAGAACUAAAAUGUUGCUUUUUCUUUAGGGUAUGAAAUAUAUCCAAAUGAAAUUGCUGAUCUGAAAAGCCAGCAGGCUAUGGCUUGCAAUUAUGAAAAUGAUCAGGGGUGCCCAAACUUUUGCAUAAAACUGUACUUCUGUAUAGUUUAUGGCAGUUACUGUUUGUCAACUGCAUGAACUUGGACUUUCUUCAUACUGUAAUCAUGUGUUUUGUUGUCUGAUUGAUAAUUUAUACUUUUUAGUAAAUGUGGGAUGGUAAAUAUAAUUUUCAGUAUUAUUCCAAAAAUGUCCAUGUAAAGUCAUGUAUAUAUUUGCUGUGAAAUAAGAUUUUUUUAUAAA